rnacentral:rRNA from 1 species
AGUGAACGCUGGCGGUAGGCCUAACACAUGCAAGUCGAACGGCAGCACAGUAAGAGCUUGCUCUUACGGGUGGCGAGUGGCGGACGGGUGAGGAAUACAUCCGAAUCUACUUUUUCGCGGGGGAUAACGUAGGGAAACUUACGCUAAUACCGCAUACGACCUACGGGUGAAAGCAGGGGAUCUUCGGACCUUGCGCGAUUGAAUGAGCCGAUGUCGGAUUAGCUAGUUGGCGGGGUAAAGGCACACCAAGGCGACGAUCCGUAGCUGGUCUGAGAGGAUGAUCAGCCACACUGGAACUGAGACACGGUCCAGACUCCUACGGGAGGCAGCAGUGGGGAAUAUUAGACAAUGGGCGCAAGCCUGAUCCAGCCAUACCGCGUGGGUGAAGAAGGCCUUCGGGUUGUAAAGCCCUUUUGUUAGGAAAGAAAAGCAGCAGGUUAAUACCCCGCUGUUCUGACGGUACCCAAAGAAUAAGCACCGGCUAACUUCGUG